GACGAACGCUGGCGGCGUGCUUAACACAUGCAAGUCGAACGGAAAGGCCCUGCUUGCAGGGUACUCGAGUGGCGAACGGGUGAGUAACACGUGGGGGAUCUGCCCUGCACUUCGGGAUAAGCCUUGGAAACUGGGUCUAAUACCGGAGAGGGGCCAUUUUUAGUGUGAUGGUUGGAAAGUUUUUUGGGUGUAGGAUGAGCUCACGGCCUUUCAGCUUGUUGGUGGGGUAAUGGGCUACCAAGGCGGCGGCUGGCAGCCGGCCUGGGAGGGUGGACGGCCAAAUUGGGACUUGGAAACGGCCCAGACUCCUAAGGGAAGCAGGAGUGGGGAAUAUUGCACAAUGGGCGGAAGCCUGAUGCAGGGACGGCGCGGGGGGGAGGACGGGCUUCGGGUUGUAAACUCCUUUCGCUAGGGACGAAGCUGUUUGUGACGGUACCGAGAUAAGAAGCACCGGCUAACUACGUG
rnacentral:rRNA from 1 species